CGGAUGAAAGUUUGGUGACUGAGUGGCGGACGGGUGAGUAACGCGUGGGUAACCUGCCCUGUACAGGGGGAUAACAGCUGGAAACGGCUGCUAAUACCGCAUAAGCGCACGAGGAGACAUCUCCUAGUGUGAAAAACUCCGGUGGUACAGGAUGGGCCCGCGUCUGAUUAGCUGGUUGGCAGGGUAACGGCCUACCAAGGCAACGAUCAGUAGCCGGUCUGAGAGGAUGAACGGCCACAUUGGAACUGAGACACGGUCCAAACUCCUACGGGAGGCAGCAGUGGGGAAUAUUGCACAAUGGGGGAAACCCUGAUGCAGCAACGCCGCGUGAGUGAAGAAGUAUUUCGGUAUGUAAAGCUCUAUCAGCAGGGAAGAUAAUGACGGUACCUGACUAAGAAGCUCCGGCUAAAUACGUGCCAGCAGCCGCGGUAAUACGUAUGGAGCAAGCGUUAUCCGGAUUUACUGGGUGUAAAGGGUGCGUAGGUGGCAGUGCAAGUCAGAUGUGAAAGGCCGGGGCUCAACCCCGGAGCUGCAUUUGAAACUGCAUAGCUGGAGUACAGGAGAGGCAGGCGGAAUUCCUAGUGUAGCGGUGAAAUGCGUAGAUAUUAGGAGGAACACCAGUGGCGAAGGCGGCCU
rnacentral:rRNA from 1 species